UUCACGCCUAUUAUUCAGUGUCUUCUCCCAUCUAAUUGUGAAUAUAUUGACAUAAAAGGAUUUAAAAUUUGUCUUGAAGUUGUCUUGUCGUCGAUUAGAUUGAGUUUGUAAUAUGAAUGGUAACUUUUGGUAGUUGGGAUUCACUUGUUGCUAUAGACGUGCUUCUGGGGUGUAUGCUAAAAGAAAAUGAGCCAAGACAUGUUUGGCUUUUACUGUGGUGAUGUCUAAGCAUCGAGUCUUAAGUUGGAAAUUAUGUUUUACGAAAAUGUUAAGAACUUAAUAGAAGAUCCUGGAAAGGACCAUUUUUGUCUUUGUUGAACAUCACAUAGAAGCUAUCAAGCCUUAGGUUAUACUCGGUCUUGGCUUCCUAAUAAGAACUAGUAAAGUACCACGAACACUUUGUGGGUUUCAAUAUACAUGUAUGUAUAUUUAUCUGGAUAAAUUGGUGAUACAUGUUUCUUCCCUGACAAAUAGUUCUUGUUUUUGUUAAAGCAGAACUCUGUAUCUUUGCAUUUUUAUCCUAGUUUCAUAUAAUGCCAACAUAAAAAAUUCCACAAAUUAUAUAGCCAUUGUCUGUCACCACCAACAAGAGGCACUAAAUAUUCUGAGGAUCUUGCUGAUGCUUGUUCCUAAGGUUGAUAGUUCUCCCGCAUGUUUAUUGGAAAAGAAGUACCCUUCUGUUUUGUUGGAUUUUUAUUCUAGUUUCAUAUAAAUGCCAGUUAUACAGUGGAUAUCUGUCACCAACUUUAAGAGGCACUCAAUAUCCUGAGGAUCUUGCUGAUGCUAGUGCCUUGUUAAGGUUGAUGUUUCUCCCUCACUUUCUUUGGAAAAUUAACAUGCAUUCUGAAUGGUGCUUGCUUUUGAAACUGCAAAAUGUUGCUACUGCACAAAUCAUUCAUGUGGGUUAUCUUUUUUUGCUUUGGAUGAGUUGGUACAAUGCUGAUAUUAUUCGAGGCUUCCAAUGACCUUAGUACUAUCAAAAAGUAUCUGUAUGUAUUGUGCUAUGUUCUCAUCAUUUCAUCUGCAUCAGAGUUCUUUCAUACUAUCUAUAAAUGAAGUGAUUUGCUUGAGUUUCUUCUCAGAGGAGAUAUAUCUAAUGAUAAGACAUGCGGGGUCUGUCUUUUAUUUUUGACCUUGUAUAAAUCUGUUGUUCCAUGUUUUGUAUCUUUGUAUAUCUCGGCUUUAUAUCUGUUGUUAGGACUAAUGCCUAACUGUAUGGUCGGUUUUUUAUAUUAAAUCUUGUAUAUUCAUAAACAGAAACAUGCCAGAGAUGACCAAUUGGGUAGAAAGGGGAC
rnacentral:lncRNA from 1 species